AAAAAAAGGACGGCAGUAAAACAUUUGUUAAAGUUGAGAGACAGCUAGUAAAAAUUUGCCCACCUUGCAGUGCACAUCUGAGAUUGUGGUACACAUAUUUUGGCCCCCUUUUUUCUUUGUUUUAAUUAUCAUUAACAUCACAAAAUAAAGCAGAAAUUAUGAGUGAAUACAGAUCAAUCAGGAUCAUAAUAGAAGACAGAGAGACAAGUGGGCAUGGUAGGAAGAGAACACUCUUUUUACUAUAUGGUAACAAUUGUAUGUUAAACGAGACAAAAAUUAUGUCACCAAAUCAACCACUUCAUGGAAUCUCCUUGUUUAUAUGAUUGCUUGUGAGGCAUCCACAUUAUAAAGUAUAACCACACCUCCUUGGUUCUCUUUUGAAAAAUGGGUGCCCUAAAGCUUCUCUGGCUUUGAGCCGUUCCGCUGGAUCAUACCGUAAGAGCCCUUGCAAGAGAUCAAUCAGAUCACCGGCAGAAUGAUCGACAUGCUGCAUAAUCAGGUUCGGCAAACGGGGCAACUUCCAAACUGCUCUCAUGCUUUCUCUUGAAGUUGCACCGUCAGGCCAAUCUAAUCGCGUGCCUCUCCUGAAAUAUUUCUCAGCAUGACGGUCAGCUCUGACCGCCAUAUGCUGUGGCAGGGGCCCUAAAACCCUUUCCAUCAUAGCAAGAUGCUCCAAGUUCUCGUGUGUUUGAAAAAGAGCCUCACCAGAACAUAGUUCAACAAGUAUGCAACCCACACUCCAUAAAUCACAAGGAUAGUUCCAUCUCAGACCUAAGAUAACCUCUGGUGCACGAUAAUGGCGUGUUGACACCACAUAGCUGUGAUCCUGAUGCUCAAAUGUAGUACUUCCAAAAUCAAUGAGCUUAAUAGCACUUGACUUGGGCAGAUUCUUGAAAUAGGAGCCAUCUUUUGUGGACCGUGAAAGAAACUUACAAUCUGGCACUUUGAUAUACUCAGAGGAAACUAGUAGAAUAUUCUCCGGCUUCAAAUCAGUGUGAAUUAGUCGUAGAUCAUGCAUAACGAGUGCCACCAAUGUCAUGUCUGGCAAGCCUCUGUAGGACGUCAAUUUCAAUCAUGGCAGCUUCACGAUACUUGUGUAUGGAGCGAACAAUUUUUAUCGCCACAACUUCUUUCUUUUCAUUAUCAAAACAUUCCAAGACUUGCCCAAAUGUCCCUUCACCCAUUUUGCUAAGAAUCCUGUCUGCAAGGUUGAAGAAAAAGAGAAGGAAUCAGCAAACAAAUUAUGACCAUCUAUAAUAGAUCUCAUAAAAACAUAAGAGUUGAUGUUGACACAAUGAAUGAUAACAAAUGGAUACACUUACAGGUAAUUGAUUUUACACUUCUAACUUAUAAAUAAAAUCUUAGCAGUUUAGAUAAGGGAAAACAAAUAUGAGAAGCUUUUACCAUAAAAUAAAAGGUUCACAGAUCAAACUUACUUUGUGCUGAAAACUGAAAAGCCUUAACACAUUAUAAUUUCUGAAAAUUAACUAGUUGAUCAUGCAGGAAGCAUAGAAGUAAUGAUUUUCAAAUUCCCUUAACCACAAUUUUUCUAUUAGUUCACAGAGAGAACUCCAUUUUUUAGAGGCCAACACUUCCAACCUUCACUCAGGCAUUAAGAUAUUUAAUGCUCCUAAAAUCAAAAUUACUAAAUGCUAAAGAAACCUUAUAUCUUUCCGUAAUUGUGAAGUGGAAAUGAAAAGAAAUUGAAUAGAAGAGAAGAAAAGAAUUUAUUUUUCAUUAUAUUGUUUGGUUAUCUUAU
rnacentral:misc_RNA from 1 species